rnacentral:rRNA from 1 species
UUGGUGCCUUCGGGAACGUCUGACACAGGUGCUGCAUGGCUGUCGUCAGCUCGUGUCGUGAGAUGUUGGGUUAAGUCCCGCAACGAGCGCAACCCUUGCCUUUAGUUGCCAGCAGUUCGGCUGGGCACUCUAAAGGGACUGCCGGUGUUAAACCGGAGGAAGGUGGGGAUGACGUCAAGUCCUCAUGGCCUUUAUGACCAGGGCUACACACGUACUACAAUGGCCGAUACAAAGGGCAGCGACACUGCGAGGUGAAGCCAAUCCCGUAAAAUCGGUCUCAGUCCGGAUUGGAGUCUGCAACUCGACUCCAUAAAGUUGGAAUCGCUAGUAAUCGUGGAUCAGCAUGCCACAGUGAAUACGUUCCCGGGCCUU